CACUGCGCCGAAAAUGUACCGGGGCUAAACAUAUUACCGAAGCUGUGGAUUGUCCUUUGGACAAUGGUAGGAGAGCGUUCUAAGGGCGUUGAAGCAUGAUCGUAAGGACAUGUGGAGCGCUUAGAAGUGAGAAUGCCGGUGUGAGUAGCGAAAGACGGGUGAGAAUCCCGUCCACCGAUUGACUAAGGUUUCCAGAGGAAGGCUCGUCCGCUCUGGGUUAGUCGGGUCCUAAGCUGAGGCCGACAGGCGUAGGCGAUGGAUAACAGGUUGAUAUUCCUGUACCACCUAUAAUCGUUUUAAUCGAUGGGGGGACGCAGUAGGAUAGGCGAAGCGUGCGAUUGGAUUGCACGUCUAAGCAGUAAGGCUGAGUAUUAGGCAAAUCCGGUACUCGUUAAGGCUGAGCUGUGAUGGGGAGAAGACAUUGAGUCUUCGAGUCGUUGAUUUCACACUGCCGAGAAAAGCCUCUAGAUAGAAAAUAGGUGCCCGUACCGCAAACCGACACAGGUAGUCAAGAUGAGAAUUCUAAGGUGAGCGAGCGAACUCUCGUUAAGGAACUCGGCAAAAUGACCCCGUAACUUCGGGAGAAGGGGUGCUCUUUAGGGUUAACGCCCAGAAGAGCCGCAGUGAAUAGGCCCAAGCGACUGUUUAUCAAAAACACAGGUCUCUGCUAAACCGUAAGGUGAUGUAUAGGGGCUGACGCCUGCCCGGUGCUGGAAGGUUAAGAGGAGUGGUUAGCUUCUGCGAAGCUACGAAUCGAAGCCCCAGUAAACGGCGGCCGUAACUAUAACGGUCCUAAGGUAGCGAAAUUCCUUGUCGGGUAAGUUCCGACCCGCACGAAAGGCGUAACGAUUUGGGCACUGUCUCAACGAGAGACUCGGUGAAAUCAUAGUACCUGUGAAGAUGCAGGUUACCCGCGACAGGACGGAAAGACCCCGUGGAGCUUUACUGUAGCCUGAUAUUGAAAUUCGGCACAGCUUGUACAGGAUAGGUAGGAGCCUUUGAAACGUGAGCGCUAGCUUACGUGGAGGCGCUGGUGGGAUACUACCCUAGCUGUGUUGGCUUUCUAACCCGCACCACUUAUCGUGGUGGGAGACAGUGUCA
rnacentral:rRNA from 1 species